AGAGUUUGAUCCUGGCUCAGGACGAACGCUGGCGGCGCGCCUAACACAUGCAAGUCGAACGAGCGAGAGAGAGCUUGCUUUCUCGAGCGAGUGGCGAACGGGUGAGUAACGCGUGAGGAACCUGCCUCAAAGAGGGGGACAACAGUUGGAAACGACUGCUAAUACCGCAUAAGCCCACGGCUCGGCAUCGAGCAGAGGGAAAAGGAGCAAUCCGCUUUGAGAUGGCCUCGCGUCCGAUUAGCUAGUUGGUGAGGUAACGGCCCACCAAGGCGACGAUCGGUAGCCGGACUGAGAGGUUGAACGGCCACAUUGGGACUGAGACACGGCCCAGACUCCUACGGGAGGCAGCAGUGGGGAAUAUUGCACAAUGGGGGAAACCCUGAUGCAGCGACGCCGCGUGGAGGAAGAAGGUCUUCGGAUUGUAAACUCCUGUUGUUGGGGAAGAUAAUGACGGUACUCAACAAGGAAGUGACGGCUAACUACGUGCCAGCAGCCGCGGUAAAACGUAGGUCACAAGCGUUGUCCGGAAUUACUGGGUGUAAAGGGAGCGCAGGCGGGAGAACAAGUUGGAAGUGAAAUCCAUGGGCUCAACCCAUGAACUGCUUUCAAAACUGUUUUUCUUGAGUAGUGCAGAGGUAGGCGGAAUUCCCGGUGUAGCGGUGGAAUGCGUAGAUAUCGGGAGGAACACCAGUGGCGAAGGCGGCCUACUGGGCACCAACUGACGCUGAGGCUCGAAAGUGUGGGUAGCAAACAGGAUUAGAUACCCUGGUAGUCCACACCGUAAACGAUGAUUACUAGGUGUUGGAGGAUUGACCCCUUCAGUGCCGCAGUUAACACAAUAAGUAAUCCACCUGGGGAGUACGACCGCAAGGUUGAAACUCAAAGGAAUUGACGGGGGCCCGCACAAGCAGUGGAGUAUGUGGUUUAAUUCGACGCAACGCGAAGAACCUUACCAAGUCUUGACAUCCCUUGACGAUGCUGGAAACAGCAUUUCUCUUCGGAGCAAGGAGACAGGUGGUGCAUGGUUGUCGUCAGCUCGUGUCGUGAGAUGUUGGGUUAAGUCC
rnacentral:rRNA from 1 species